rnacentral:rRNA from 1 species
UACGUAGGGUGCGAGCGUUAAUCGGAAUUACUGGGCGUAAAGCGUGCGCAGGCGGUUUUGUAAGCCAGAUGUGAAAUCCCCGGGCUUAACCUGGGAACUGCAUUUGUGACUGCAUGGCUGGAGUGCGGCAGAGGGGGAUGGAAUUCCGCGUGUAGCAGUGAAAUGCGUAGAUAUGCGGAGGAACACCGAUGCGAAGGCAAUCCCCUGGGCCUGCACUGACGCUCAUGCACGAAAGCGUGGGGAGCAAACAGG